UACCAGUCAGCAAACCGAUUCCCUCUGCAUUGCCGUCAAUUAGACGCCCGAACCGCAGUCAUUGAUAAUUUUUUCAGCGUCUAAAAGACAAUCACGCAGAAGAAAGAAUCGAAAAAGAGAAGGAUGAGGAAGUUCGAUCCAUGGCCGGUAUUCUUCAAGAGAGAAUGGAACCGUAACUGGCCUUUCCUCGUUGGCUUUGCCAUCACUGGCGCUCUCAUCACCAAAUUCUCUCUCAGCCUCACUGAGGAGGAUGCGAAGAAUUCUCCUUUCGUGCAAAGACACAAAAAGCACUGAUGCUAAACGAACCCUGUCUAAGAUGAGCAGCCUUCUGGUGAAUUUGGAAAUGUGCUCUCCAGGUGCCAGAUCAAUGCUUAUUAUGAAGGGCAUUUAGCUUUGUUUGAGUUCAUCUUUCUCCUCUUAUUGUUUUGCAGAGUUUUUGUUUCAGUCACUUUGUGGUUAAAUAGACUGAUGACUUUUGGGUAAAAGAAAGGCUUUGUCUAGUUGUAACGAUUUCACUGGCUACUGCUGUUAGCCGCUGCAAUGUAACACUUUUAAGUGUGAAAAUAAAUGCACCAUGUGAAAAUUAUUAUUAUUUCCACGGUUUUGUUCCA